UUGAGAUAGUAAAUAAGUCUCACAAGAUCUGAUGGGCUUAUCUGGGGUUUCUGCUUUUGCUUCUUCCUCAUUUUCUCUUGCUGCCACCAGGUAAGAAGUGCCUUUUGCCUCCUGCCAUGAUUCUGAGGCCUCCCCAGCCAUGUGGAACUAAGUGCCUUUCACUUCCUGCCAUGAUUCUGAGGCCUCCCCAGCCAUGUGGAACUUUUUUUGAAAUGCCUCCUACCACCUACUGGUUUGGCAAAGUACUACUUAUUCCCUGGAACCAGCUGAAGAUUGAACUCAUCUCUGAGGAAUUGCUGGACAUAUGUAAGCAGAAUUGAAGGCUUUGCUCCCUGUGAUUCUAAAAUAUUUUGUAUGAACUAACUUGUUUUACUAAACUUGCUACUCUGCACUGUAAUUGUUUGUGUUCUUGUGCAUCCUACCAAAGCCUGAGCACGUGAAGUGUGCUGCUAUAUCCUAUUCUUCGAAUGUUUCUUAAAUAAAAGGAUUGAUGGAGGGAUGAUACUUGAUCUCCUACUCUUCGAACGUUUCUUAAAUAGAAGGAUUGAUGGAUGGAUGAUACUUGAACUUUUAUUAAAAUGGUGACACUAUACAUUUUGUUUUUUCUCACAUAGGGAGAGCAUUCGCUGAAGUGUAAAAAGGAGAAAAUAAAAAUAACUUCAAAGAAAGCUGGAAGCAAGGAGAUUAGCAGGGAUAAAAUGAACAAUUGGGAGAAUGCCUACAGUAUCACAACUCUGCACAUCACUUCAGUUUUCCUCAGAUUUGAUGUAUCCUCACUAUAACAACAGGACCAGCCCAACCCAGGCCUACUUUGUUGAUGACAGAAUGCCAAGUUACCUCGUAGGAAUAACAGAGUCAAAAUUGCCAAUCAUGUAGCCCAAGCAUGCACAACAGAAAAAACCGUGUUGACCUUUAGCAACACCCAGAACCCAUGAUUCCUCCCUGUGGAACCGAGAAGACCAGGAUACAACCAGAACCUAAACUCUGGAACCUUUUCAAAAGACAGGGGUCCACUGGCCCAAAAGAUCAGGAGCUAAAAUCCUCCUCAACAUGGCUUACCAUAAAUGGUCAAAUUUGAAGUCCUUUAAUUAGACUCUGCCAAAUCAACAUUUCUUAAUCCUUUCCCUUGUCCUGUGGCCCCUUAAAAGUUUCCUCAGACCCCAAAUUAGUAAGACAGAUUUGAGUUGCAUCACCUGUGUCCUUGCUGGCCAGCCUGGCAAAAUAAAGACUUUCUUUUCACAAAAGCCAUUGCUAGAGUAUUGGUUUCUAUCUGUUGUGGGCAGUGAGCUUAAAUUUGCUCAGUAAUAUUGCUAGAUAAUGGAUCACCACUGAUUCUUGGAUUUUCACACGUCUUUAAAAGCUGGAAGCAAAGACUGUGUACUACUCUACAUCUAGCUGAUUAAAAGCAUACAUGGGGAUAAUAAAAGAACUGUAGACACAAACAAAUUUGUUCAAAUAGAUAACUUGGGUGAAAUCCAUGGUUUCUUUGACUGUGUGGUUCUCUAUAUUUGGACAAACCCUGGUACAAUGACAUUGUGUGAAGAUGCUUGGCCACUGGGUGUACAUUUCUAAGCCUCAGUGUUUUUGCUGAAUCCACUGGGACUGGGAAACCAAUUUAGACCUAAGUGAAUUCUUUGUUUCAGUUCAAAGUUAUCAGUUGGUGUUACUAGCUUGGAAGAAUAAAGUAGGCUCAUUAAGAAAGUAGAUAACUAUUUUAAGACUAAGAAUAGGAAGAAUUAAGAUUUUAGGAAGAUAGAAAAGCAUUCAACAAAUAUGAUAAGUACUUUGCAUUCUUCCACAUGAAGGAGAUAGAAAUAUAAGACACAGUCUUCUUCUCACGAUUAAAGUAAAAAUACAGAUAUUACGAAACAGUACAAUGCAAUAUGAAAAGAAACAGAAUCCAAGUACCUAUGAAGGGCAUAGAAGAUAAAUGAUUCAAAUAUGACUUAGAAGGAUCAGAGCAUGUGCUACACUAGAUAACAAUGUUUGCACAUGAAUCAAUAAUUUGAACACUAGCAAUUCUGACUUUAUGAUAUUUUACCUAAAUCUACUCUUAUCUUCCCCCAAAACAAUAUAACUUAUGCUUUAGAAAAAUUUCUCAAAGAGACUAAAUUACUUUCUAGUUUUUUGCUUUGG